ensembl:snoRNA SNORD62 Small nucleolar RNA SNORD62
UCUCAGUGAUGCGACUCCAAUAGGUCCUUCUGACCCUCCACUGUGGGCUCAGUAGCAGGGAAAUGAAGAGGAACAGGACUGAGAGA